rnacentral:rRNA from 1 species
AGUGAACGCUGGCGGUAGGCCUAACACAUGCAAGUCGAACGGCAGCACAGUAAGAGCUUGCUCUUACGGGUGGCGAGUGGCGGACGGGUGAGGAAUACAUCGGAAUCUACUUUUUCGUGGGGGGAUAACGUAGGGAAACUUACGCUAAUACCGCAUACGACCUACGGGUGAACGCAGGGGAUCUUCGGACCUUGCGCGAUUGAAUGAGCCGAUGUCGGAUUAGCUAGUUGGCGGGGUAAAGGCCCACCAAGGCGACGAUCCGUAGCUGGUCUGAGAGGAUGAUCAGCCACACUGGAACUGAGACACGGUCCAGACUCUUACGGGAGGCAGCAGUGGGGAAUAUUGGACAAAGGGCGCAAGCCUGAUCCAGCCAUACCGCGUGGGUGAAGAAGGCCUUCGGGUUGUAAAGCCCUUUUGUUGGGAAAGAAAAGCAGCAGGUUAAUACCCCGCCGUUCUGACGGUACCCAAAGAAUAAGCACCGGCUAACUUCGUG